UACGUAGGGCGCAAGCGUUGUCCGGAAUUAUUGGGCGUAAAGAGCUCGUAGGCGGUCUGUCGCGUCUGCCGUGAAAACCCGAGGCUUAACCUCGGGCUGGCGGUGGAUACGGGCAGACUAGAGGUAGGUAGGGGAGAAUGGAAUUCCCGGUGUAGCGGUGAAAUGCGCAGAUAUCGGGAGGAACACCGGUGGCGAAGGCGGUUCUCUGGGCCUUACCUGACGCUGAGGAGCGAGAGCGUGGGGAGCGAACAGG
rnacentral:rRNA from 1 species